rnacentral:rRNA from 1 species
GCUCCAAUAGCGUAUAUUAAAGUUGUUGCGGUUAAAAAGCUCGUAGUUGGAUUUCAGUUCCGGACUGACGGUUCACCGCCCGGUGUCUACUGUCACGCUCCGAACAGCCGCACCGCCGGCUCGCACGGGGUGCUCUUCAUCGAGUGUCCCGAGUGGCCGGCACGUUUACUUUGAAAAAAUUAGAGUGCUCAGAGCAGGCUCUUUGGAUGGCCUGAAUGUCUAUGCAUGGAAUAAUGGAAUAGGACCUCGGUUCUAUUUUGUUGGUUUUCGGAACCCGAGGUAAUGACUAAUAGGAACAGGCGGGGGCAUUCGUAUUGCGACGCUAGAGGUGAAAUUCUUGGACCGUCGCAAGACGAACUACUGCGAAAGCAUUUGCCAAGGAUGUUUUCAUUAAUCAAGAACGAAAGUUAGAGGUUCGGAGGCGAUCAGAUACCGCCCUAGUUCUAACCAUAAACGAUGCUGACUAGCGAUCCGCCGGCGUUAUUCCCAUGACCCGGCGGGCAGCUUCCGGGAAACCAAAGUCUUUGAGUUCCGGGGGAAGUAUGGUUGCAAAGCUGAAACUUAAAGGAAUUGACG